GAGUUUGAUCAUGGCUCAGGAUGAACGCUAGCGACAGGCUUAACACAUGCAAGUCGAGGGGCAGCGGGGGCGUAGCAAUAUGCCUGCCGGCGACCGGCGCACGGGUGAGUAACACGUAUGUAACCUGCCCUAUGCAGGGGGAUAACCCGGAGAAAUCCGGCCUAAUACCGCGUAACACCUUUUGGGAGCAUUCCCGGGAGGUUAAAGGAGAGAUCCGGCAUAGGAUGGACAUGCGUCGCAUUAGGUAGACGGCGGGGUAACGGCCCACCGUGCCGACGAUGCGUAGGGGUUCUGAGAGGAAGGCCCCCACACUGGUACUGAGACACGGACCAGACUCCUACGGGAGGCAGCAGUGAGGAAUAUUGGUCAAUGGCCGAGAGGCUGAACCAGCCAAGUCGCGUGAGGGAAGAAUGUCCUAAGGAUUGUAAACCUCUUUUGUCGGGGAGCAAAAGGCUCUGCGGAGUCGUAUUGAGAGUACCCGAAGAAAAAGCAUCGGCUAACUCCGUGCCAGCAGCCGCGGUAAUACGGAGGAUGCGAGCGUUAUCCGGAUUUAUUGGGUUUAAAGGGUGCGARGCGGCGUGUCAGCAAGCGG
rnacentral:rRNA from 1 species